GGGCCCGCACAAGCGGUGGAGCAUGUGGUUUAAUUCGAUGAUACGCGAGGAACCUUACCAGGGCUUAAAUGUAAGUUGCAUAAAUCAGAGAUGAUUUUUUCUUCGGACUACUUACAAGGUGCUGCAUGGUUGUCGUCAGCUCGUGCCGUGAGGUGUCAGGUUAAGUCCUAUAACGAGCGCAACCCCUGUCGUUAGUUGCCAUCAAGUAAUGUUGGGUACUCUAGCGAGACUGCCGGUGCAAACCGAGAGGAAGGUGGGGAUGACGUCAAAUCAUCACGGCCCUUACGUCCUGGCUACACACGUGCUACAAUGGCCGGUACAGAGAGCAGCCACUACGCGAGUAGGAGCG
rnacentral:rRNA from 1 species